rnacentral:misc_RNA from 1 species
UAACCAAUCAAGCCUGGCUUGGUAUUGGGGUACGCGGUCCCGCGGCUCCUAAGAUCAGUGGCGGUGCCGAUUAGGUUCUAAGCGUAGUAAAUCUCCUCGCUAUAGAAUUUUCUCGGUUUCCUGCCAGAACCCCCCAUAUUUCUCA